CACGUAGUUAGCCGUCCCUUUCUGGUAAGCUACCGUCACAGUGUGAACUUUCCACUCUCACGCCCGUUCUUGACUUACAACAGAGCUUUACGAUCCGAAAACCUUCUUCACUCACGCGGCGUUGCUCGGUCAGGGUUGCCCCCAUUGCCGAAGAUUCCCUACUGCUGCCUCCCGUAGGAGUCUGGGCCGUGUCUCAGUCCCAGUGUGGCCGAUCACCCUCUCAGGUCGGCUAUGUAUCGUCGCCUAGGUGAGCCAUUACCUCACCUACUAGCUAAUACAACGCAGGUCCAUCUUGUAGUGGAGCAAUUGCCCCUUUCAAAUAAAUGACAUGUGUCAUCCAUUGUUAUGCGGUAUUAGCUAUCGUUUCCAAUAGUUAUCCCCCGCUACAAGGCAGGUUACCUACGCGUUACUCACCCGUUCGCAACUCAUCCAAGAAGAGCAAGCUCCUCUCUUCAGCGUUCUACUUGCAUGUAUUAGGCACGCCGCCAGCGUUCGU
rnacentral:rRNA from 1 species